ACGCUGGCGGCGUGCCUAACACAUGCAAGUCGAACGCACAGCGAAAGGUGCUUGCACCUCUCAAGUGAGUGGCGAACGGGUGAGUAACACGUGGACAACCUGCCUCAAGGCUGGGGAUAACAUUUGGAAACAGAUGCUAAUACCGAAUAAAACUUAGUGUCGCAUGACACAAAGUUAAAAGGCGCUUCGGCGUCACCUAGAGAUGGAUCCGCGGUGCAUUAGUUAGUUGGUGGGGUAAAGGCCUACCAAGACAAUGAUGCAUAGCCGAGUUGAGAGACUGAUCGGCCACAUUGGGACUGAGACACGGCCCAAACUCCUACGGGAGGCUGCAGUAGGGAAUCUUCCACAAUGGGCGAAAGCCUGAUGGAGCAACGCCGCGUGUGUGAUGAAGGCUUUCGGGUCGUAAAGCACUGUUGUAUGGGAAGAACAGCUAGAAUAGGAAAUGAUUUUAGUUUGACGGUACCAUACCAGAAAGGGACGGCUAAAUACGUGCCAGCAGCCGCGGUAAUACGUAUGUCCCGAGCGUUAUCCGGAUUUAUUGGGCGUAAAGCGAGCGCAGACGGUUUAUUAAGUCUGAUGUGAAAGCCCGGAGCUCAACUCCGGAAUGGCAUUGGAAACUGGUUAACUUGAGUGCAGUAGAGGUAAGUGGAACUCCAUGUGUAGCGGUGGAAUGCGUAGAUAUAUGGAAGAACACCAGAGGCGAAGGCGGCUUACUGGACUGCAACUGACGUUGAGGCUCGAAAGUGUGGGUAGCAAAC
rnacentral:rRNA from 1 species